rnacentral:rRNA from 1 species
UGAGGAAUAUUGGUCAAUGGACGCAAGUCUGAACCAGCCAAGCAGCGUGCAGGAUGACGGCUCUAUGGGUUGUAAACUUCUCUUGUUUGGGUAUAAUCGACAUUACGUGUAAUGUUUUGCAUGUUCCAUUCGAAUAAGGACCGGCUAAUUCCGUGCCAGCCGCCGCGGUAAUACGGAAGGUCCAGGCGUCAUCUGGAUUUAUUGGGUUUAGAGGGAGUGUAGGCGGUUGGUUAAGCGUGUUGUGAAAUGUAGGAGCUCAACAUCAGACUUGCAGCGCGAACUGUCUGACUUGAGUACACACAACGUAGGCGGAAUUCAUGGUGUAGCGGUGAAAUGCUUAGAUAUCAUGAAGAACUCAGAUUGCGGAGGCAGCUUACGGGAGUGUUACUGACGCUUAAGCUCGAAGGUGCGGGUAUCGAACAGG